AUUGAACGCUGGCGGCAUGCUUUACACAUGCAAGUCGAACGGCAGCACGGGGGCAACCCUGGUGGCGAGUGGCGAACGGGUGAGUAAUACAUCGGAACGUGCCCAGUAAUGGGGGAUAGCCCGGCGAAAGCCGGAUUAAUACCGCAUACGCCCUGAGGGGGAAAGCGGGGGACCGAAAGGCCUCGCGUUAUUGGAGCGGCCGAUGGCUGAUUAGCUAGUUGGUAGGGUAAAGGCCUACCAAGGCGACGAUCAGUAGCUGGUCUGAGAGGACGACCAGCCACACUAGGACUGAGACACGGCCCAGACUCCUACGGGAGGCAGCAGUGGGGAAUUUUGGACAAUGGGCGAAAGCCUGAUCCAGCAAUGCCGCGUGUGCGAAGAAGGCCUUCGGGUUGUAAAGCACUUUUGUCAGGAACGAAAAGUUUGGCUCUAAUACAGUCGGACGAUGACGGUACCUGAAGAAUAAGCACCGGCUAACUACGUGCCAGCCGCCGCCGUAACAC
rnacentral:rRNA from 1 species